rnacentral:rRNA from 1 species
AUUGAACGCUGGCGGCAGGCCUAACACAUGCAAGUCGAGCGGAUGAAGGGAGCUUGCUCCUGGAUUCAGCGGCGGACGGGUGUGUAAUGCCUAGGAAUCUGCCUGGUAGUGGGGGAUAACGUCCGGAAACGGGCGCUAAUACCGCAUACGUCCUGAGGGAGAAAGUGGGGGAUCUUCGGACCUCACGCUAUCAGAUGAGCCUAGGUCGGAUUAGCUAGUUGGUGGGGUAAAGGCCUACCAAGGCGACGAUCCGUAACUGGUCUGAGAGGAUGAUCAGUCACACUGGAACUGAGACACGGUCCAGACUCCUACGGGAGGCAGCAGUGGGGAAUAUUGGACAAUGGGCGAAAGCAUGAUACAGCCAUGCCGCGUGUGUGAAGAAGGUCUUCGGAUUGUAAAGCACUUUAAGUUGGGAGGAAGGGCAGUAAGUUAAUACCUUGCUGUUUUGACGUUACCAACAGAAUAAGCACCGGCUAACUUCGUG